UACGUAGGGUGCGAGCGUUGUCCGGAAUUAUUGGGCGUAAAGGGCUCGUAGGCGGUUUGUCGCGUCGGGAGUGAAAACGCCGUGCUUAACACGGCGCUUGCUUUCGAUACGGGCAGACUAGAGGUAUUCAGGGGAGAACGGAAUUCCUGGUGUGAGCGGUGAAAUGCGCAGAGUAUCAGGAGGAACACCGGUGGCGAAGGCGGUUCUCUGGGAAUGACCUGACGCUGAGGAGCGAAAGUGUGGGGAGCGAACAGG
rnacentral:rRNA from 1 species